rnacentral:lncRNA from 1 species
ACCUGAGCCGCGCUGCGCCUGCGUCCUCCGCGACUCCGCGCUUGGCAGCCCCUUCCUGGGAAGGUGUAAAAUGCCGCCAGGUAGAGUUCAUCGUGGAGAGGACCAAGACAGAAGAUCAAGAAGAAUUUUUUUUUUAAUCUCUUCCCUUGUCCACCGAAAGACCAUCAAAACUAGAGAGAGAUUAUCAAAUGCCUGGUGACAAGUCCUCGGCUGCACUGGCUUCACAGGAGCUUAUGUGGAGAAGAAAAAGAAUUUGAGCCACAGCAACGAAACUCUAAAGUUGUUUCCAACUCUCUUACCAAAAGAGGCAUCCAGCCCAACAGCUCUCAACCUGGAGUAAAGCUCCCACGUGCCCUGUGGAGCAUCCUCGCUUUGAUUCCAUCCCUUUACUCCCAUUCAGAGAAUUCUACUUGAAUUUAAAUAAAUGACUCUUCUGCUAUUAUUGUGGUAAGCUUGAUUCUGCUGUGAUUUGAAAAGAACAAAAAAUAAAUUAUUGCAAAA